GAUGAACGCUAGCGGCAGGCUUAAUACAUGCAAGUCGUGGGGCAGCGCAGUGUAGCAAUACAUGGGCGGCGACCGGCAAACGGGUGCGGAACACGUACGCAACCUUCCUUCAAGUGGGGGAUAGCCCAGGGAAACUUGGAUUAAUACCCCGUAAUAUUACGAAGCGGCAUCACUUUGUAAUUAUAGCAGCAAUGCGCUUGAAGAUGGGCGUGCGCCUGAUUAGGUAGUUGGCGGGGUAACGGCCCACCAAGCCUGCGAUCAGUAACUGGUGUGAGAGCACGACCAGUCACACGGGCACUGAGACACGGGCCCG
rnacentral:rRNA from 1 species